rnacentral:sRNA from 1 species
ACUGAUGAAGGCGACUAUAAGGUAAAACUACGCAACCUAAUACGCUUUUUGGAAGAUGGUGACAAGACUAAAAUCACCUUGCGGUUCCGUGGACGUGAAAUGGCGCACCAGCAAAUCGGUAUAGACGUGCUUAAUCGUCUCAAAGAGGAUUUGAGUGAAUGGGCAGUAGUCGAAUCUUUUCCCAGUCGGGUUGAAGGCCGUCAAAUGGUUAUGGUACUUGCGCCUAAGAAGAAACAGUAAGGCACUAAUUUCUUGCAGCAAUUUCAUCUCUUUUUAGUUUAAAUGGAAGACGUAAAGUUGAUCUGUAGGAUUUUAUCCAAGUAAUGAGUGGUUGAUAUAUACCCAA